GUGUGUGUGUGUGAAUAAUAUAUAAAUGUGUAGGAAGUUAGCUUUGAGCAGUCUAUAGAAGGUAUAAAAAGCAAUUUUCUGGGGCAAUAGUGGUUUAUUGA